rnacentral:rRNA from 1 species
CUGGUUCAGGGUUGUU